rnacentral:rRNA from 1 species
UAGUUCCUACGGGGGGCAGCAGUGAGGAAUAUUGGUCAAUGGGCGGGAGCCUGAACCAGCCAAGUCGCGUGAGGGAAGACGGUCCUAUGGAUUGUAAACCUCUUUAGGCGGGGAGCAAUGCCGGGCACGCGUGUCCGGAGGGAGCGUACCCGCAGAAUAAGCAUCGGCUAACUCCGUGCCAGCAGCCGCGGUAAUACGGAGGAUGCGAGCGUUAUCCGGAUUUAUUGGGUUUCAAGGGUGCGUAGGCGGAUUUUUAAGUCAGCGGUAAAAUGUCCGUGCUCAACCCUGGCCGGCCGUUGCACCUG